UACGAAGGGGGCUAGCGUUGCUCGGAAUGACUGGGCGUAAAGGGCGCGUAGGCGGAUGGCUUUGUCGGGCGUGAAAUUCCAGGGCUUAACCUUGGGGCUGCGUUCGAGACGGGUUGUCUUGAGUGGGGAAGAGGGUCGUGGAAUUCCCAGUGUAGAGGUGAAAUUCGUAGAUAUUGGGAAGAACACCGGUGGCGAAGGCGGCGUCCUGGACCAACACUGACACUGAUGAGCGAAAGCCAGGGGAGCAAACGGG
rnacentral:rRNA from 1 species